GUCGGGAUAGCUUAGUAUCCUUC
rnacentral:tRNA from 1 species